rnacentral:rRNA from 1 species
CCUACGGGCGGCUGCAGUGAGGAAUAUUGGUCAAUGGGCGUAAGCCUGAACCAGCCAAGUCGCGUGAGGGAUGAAGGUUCUAUGGAUCGUAAACCUCUUUUAUAAGGGAAUAAAGUGUGGGACGUGUCCUAUUUUGUAUGUACCUUAUGAAUAAGGAUCGGCUAACUCCGUGCCAGCAGCCGCGGUAAUACGGAGGAUCCGAGCGUUAUCCGGAUUUAUUGGGUUUAAAGGGAGCGUAGAUGGCUUGUUAAGUCAGCGGUGAAAGUUUGUGGCUCAACCAUAGAAUUGCCGUUGAAACUGGGAGUCUUGAGUAUAGUUGAGGCAGGCGGAAUGCGUGGUGUAGCGGUGAAAUGCUUAGAUAUCACGCAGAACCCCGAUUGCGAAGGCAGCUUGCUAAGCCGUGACUGACGCUGAUGCACGAAAGCGUGGGGAUCAAACAGGAUUAGAUACCCGUGUAGUC